rnacentral:lncRNA from 1 species
AGUGACCGGGGGUCCCUCUUGAACCCAGUUUAUUAACAUUCAGUAAAAGAAAUAUUCGUUGUUACAAACAGGCAGUGCAUCAAGAUAUCCAGACAUCAAUGAGAACUAGGAUUGGAGAGGUCACAAUCCAGGCAAUCCCAUGAUGUCUCAGGGAUAAGGAAGGGGAAGCUAGGGCACAUCCAGGGGCCAUGCUUCCCAUUUUUCACUGGGAGAGAAAGAACUCUUAUACCUGGGGUAAGGAUGUACUGCAGUUUCCAACUUCUUCCCUUUGUCCCCCAGCCAUUUUAUUUAACAUGACCUAAGUAUACAUUCUUGGUUCCCGCCAGCAAGCCAUCACCCUAAUAGUCACUGUUCCCCCAAAGUUCCAUCCAUGUGUGAGCUGGAGCACAGCAGGGGAGUGGGAAUGGUG